UCCGGGAAACAAAGUGGUGGUAGUCAAAAGAUCUCUUCCCACUGCUGUCAGUGUUGGGGCUGAGAUACUGUUUUAGUGCUGUGGAGCCCUGGCCCAGGUUCCACCCGUCCCAGGCCCCUGCCUCGAGGGAGUUUAGUGUGAGGCAAAUGAGAGACCAACUCCAUGUAGCAAAGAGUGGACGGCCUGGGAAAAACAUGUAAACACUCCUGUAAGAGGGAGGAGUUUGAACGCCCAGGCAGGAAGCAUAAGAGGCAUCCUGGGAUGUGCUGGGCACAGCAAUCCGGGCUGCUGCUGUCACUAGCCGGUGGGGGCAUCAGCAGGGCUCAACAGGCAACGGACAGGAAGUAGUUUGAGAAUACUGUGGAACUUGAGAACACAGCACGGCCCGAACCAAGUGCAGCGUUCUGUCGGAGAAGACAGCACAUGUCUACACAGCCACCCCGGAGCCGGAGUCAGAGGCAGCUGGUGGGUGCCUGAUGUGUGGGUUGGGAUCUGAACUCUGGUUCUCUUCAAUAGCAGUUGAUGCUCUGAAUUUCUCCAGGCCCAAGGGGAGAACUUGAACAAGUCCCCACCCCACAAAUUGUGCAGUCGAGUUUCCCAAACUGGGGAAAUCGCAGGAGUCUGCACAUCUGGAGUGCAGUGGAGAAGCCUUGCCCUGGGACACCACCUUCGCGAUCACGGCACCUGCCCUGCAGACCCUCUUCUUGGAAAAACAACCUUUGACAUCUUGCCAGAGGACCGUUGAGGAAAUGCUGGCCUAAACAAACCUGUCCCUGCCUCCGAGUAAGUACUGAUUCCAAAGACUGUCAGGGAAAGGAAAACCUCAGAAGUCAUGUUACUGAAGACACCCGAAAGCAGGAGACACGCUUCCGUCUUCCCAUACAGGCUGCA